UACAGAGGUCUCAAGCGUUGUUCGGAUUCAUUGGGCGUAAAGGGUGCGUAGGUGGCGCUGUAAGUCAGGUGUGAAAUUUCGGAGCUUAACUCCGAAACUGCAUUCGAUACUGCCGUGCUUGAGGACUGGAGAGGAGACUGGAAUUUACGGUGUAGCGGUGAAAUGCGUAGAUAUCGUAAGGAAGACCAGUGGCGAAGGCGGGUCGUCGUGGACAGUUCCUGACGCUGAGGCACGGAAGGUCAGGGGAGCAAACGGG
rnacentral:rRNA from 1 species